CCUACGGUAGGCUGCAGUGAGGAAUAUUGGUCAAUGGACGCAAGUCUGAACCAGCCAUGCCGCGUGCAGGAAGACGGCUCUAUGAGUUGUAAACUGCUUUUGUACGAGGGUAAACGCAGAUACGUGUAUCUGUCUGAAAGUAUCGUACGAAUAAGGAUCGGCUAACUCCGUGCCAGCAGCCGCGGUAAUACGGAGGAUUCAAGCGUUAUCCGGAUUUAUUGGGUUUAAAGGGUGCGUAGGCGGUCGGAUAAGUUAGAGGUGAAAUCCCGAGGCUCAACUUCGGAAUUGCCUCUGAUACUGUUCGGCUAGAGAGUAGUUGCGGUAGGCGGAAUGUAUGGUGUAGCGGUGAAAUGCUUAGAGAUCAUACAGAACACCGAUUGCGAAGGCAGCUUACCAAGCUACUUCUGACGUUGAGGCACGAAAGCGUGGGGAGCAAACAGGAGUAGAUACCCCUGUAGUC
rnacentral:rRNA from 1 species